AUACUACUCCCUCCGUCCGAAAAUACUUGUCAUCAAAAUGUAUAAAAGGGGAUGUAUCUAGAUGUAUUUUAGUUCUAGAUACAUCCUUUUUUGUCCAUUUUGAUGACAAGUAUUUUCGGACGGAGGGAGUACUAC
rnacentral:pre_miRNA from 1 species